rnacentral:rRNA from 1 species
UGCGUAGGCGGGGCAAUUAGUCAGUGGUGAAAUCCUGCGGCUUAACCGUAGAAUUGCCAUUGAUACUGUUGCCCUUGAGUAUAGUUGAAGUGGGCGGAAUAUGUAAUGUAGCGGUGAAAUGCAUAGAGAUUACACAGAACACCAAUUGCGAAGGCAGCCCACUAAGCUAUAACUGACGCUGAGGCACGAAAGCGUGGGGAGCGAACAGGAUUAGAUACCCUGGUAGUCC